rnacentral:rRNA from 1 species
AUUGAACGCUGGCGGCAGGCCUAACACAUGCAAGUCGAACGAGUGGCGGACGGGUGAGUAAUGUCUGGGAACUGCCCGAUGGAGGGGGAUAACUAUUGGAAACGAUAGCUAAUACCGCAUACUGUGAGAUGGACCUGCGUUGUAUUAGCUAGGUGGGGAGGUAAAGGCUCACCAAGGCGACGAUACAUAGCCGACCUGGGAGGGUGAUCCGGCAAACUGGGACUGAGAAACGGCCCAGACUUCUACGGGAGGCAGCAGUAGGGAAUCUUCGGCAAUGGGCGGAAGUCUGACCGAGCAACGGCGCGGGAGUGAAGAAGGUUUUCGGAGCGUAAAGCUCUGUUGUUAGAGAAGCGGUAACUAACCAGAAAGGGACGGCUAACUACGUGCCAGCAGCCGCGGUAAUAC